AACGAACGCUGGCGGCAUGCCUAACACAUGCAAGUCGAACGAAGCCUUCGGGCUUAGUGGCGCACGGGUGCGUAACGCGUGGGAAUCUGCCCUUGGGUUCGGAAUAACAGUUAGAAAUGACUGCUAAUACCGAAUGAUGUCUUCGGACCAAAGAUUUAUCGCCCAAGGAUGAGCCCGCGUCGGAUUAGCUAGUUGGUGAGGUAAAGGCUCACCAAGGCGACGAUCCGUAGCUGGUCUGAGAGGAUGAUCAGCCACACUGGGACUGAGACACGGCCCAGACUCCUACGGAGGCAGCAGUGGGGAAUAUUGGACAAUGGGGCGAAAGGCCUGAUCCAGCAAUGCCGCGUGAGUGAUGAAGGCCUUAGGGUUGUAAAGCUCUUUUACCC
rnacentral:rRNA from 1 species